rnacentral:rRNA from 1 species
GUGGGGAAUAUUGGGCAAUGGGCGAAAGCCUGACCCAGCAACGCCGCGUGAAGGAAGAAGGCUUUCGGGUUGUAAACUUCUUUUGUCAGGGACGAAAAAAAUGACGGUACCUGACGAAUAAGCCACGGCUAACUACGUGCCAGCAGCCGCGGUAAUACGUAGGUGGCAAGCGUUAUCCGGAUUUACUGGGUGUAAAGGGCGUGUAGGCGGGAAAGCAAGUCAGAUGUGAAAACUAUGGGCUCAACCCAUAGCCUGCAUUUGAAACUGUUUUUCUUGAGUACUGGAGAGGCAGAUGGAAUUCCUAGUGUAGCGGUGAAAUGCGUAGAUAUUAGGAGGAACACCAGUGGCGAAGGCGAUCUGCUGGACAGCAACUGACGCUGAGGCGCGAAAGCGUGGGGAGCAAACAGGAUUAGAUACCCCGGUAGUCC